AAUUCUAGCACUUUGGCACCACUUUAACUGUCAUAGUUCCAUCCUAUGUAAUCCUGAGGUUUGUCAUCUGUUGCAGCAUCAGGGUUCUCUGAAAGAAAAGGGUGAUUCCAUGCAGAGAUGUUAGAUGGGAUUCCUGCAGGAAACUAUAAAUCAGAGGCCAAGGAAUCAAAUAGGACACACAGGAAACCUUUCAUGAAGAACUGGGAUCAUUGUUCAUCCUAAACCCUCCAUUGGCUUACCUUCCCAGACAUUCCUCCAAGCAGUCCUGAACGAUUCUAUAAUCAACACUGAGAAGUUGCAGAACUAAUAGAAAAACUCAACUGGCUGAAUGUCCAGUGAAUAUCAUCUGCCUAAAUGGACUUUGUCUCAACCCCAAAUCAUGCCAGAACACAAACUGAAAUAAGUACAGUCUCUACCCUAAUCUAUAGAUUCUAGAUAACCUAUUUCUUUUUCGAGAUCAUGAAACUGAGAAGCCAGAAUGUGCUGUGUGUCAAAAGACCUCAAGGAGUCUUUGCAGUAGUGUCAAAGCACAAUAUCUGUAUAAAAUAGCUUGUGACUCUGAGCUAAUCAUCUCAGGAAAAAUAUGAGGUGUUGCAUUUGAUCUGAAGUGCUAAAGCACAACUUUUUUUCCUGACAUCUUGGAACCAGCAAGUACCAGAGAGUAAUUUCGUAAUACUGUAGUCACCCAUUGGGCAUGAUUAUUUUGAGAGAUGCUGAGACAAGCCAGACAGAAUUUAUUGGCCUUAAACUCGCUCUUGAGGGUGCAAACACUCACCCACUAAUAGGAAAAGCACCUUUUGUGGCAAAGGUGAUCAUCCACAAGGCAUGUUUACUUUGAAAUAGAAAACAGUGAGAGUAAUUUACUCUGCACUUGAAAGGCAGGCCAAAAACAUACACCUUGACUUAGAUAUUAGAAAAGCUGACAUAUACCAUUCUGCAUUUAAUAAACAAAAACAAAAUGGAGAGAAAAGUAAAAAUUAUUUUAUUGUAAUUCCCGAUAAGCUAUUAGUGUAAAAAUAUGAUACAUAACAUUUGAAAAUAUUUCAGUUUUUAUUAGGCAUUACCUUUUCUUGAGCAUUUUUAUAAUGUUCACUGAUGAAAUGCAAUGAUGUCUUUUAGUAAGACAUUAAAAAUGAAUCAUCUAGUUUUUAUGGAUUAUGAGAUAAUGAAUACAGGUGAUACAAAUUCUUAUACCGCCUAUGUUUAUUUUUACCAUUGAAACGUAUACAUGGAAAAAUACCCUUUUACAGUGAUUCUAGCAAAGCUUAUGUGAAUAACCUCAAUGUUCAAGUCAGUUUUUCCCCUGAUGUUUACCACUAUGCCUUAAGGAAGAAUACUUGUUUUGCUUUCUAUAACAGAGAGUAAAAUAUAAAUACCUGUCCCCAUUGUCUAGGUGCCCUGAAUCCUGUUUUCUCCAACUUCUAAAACUAAGGUUAUUUGAAACAUUACAAUUUAAAUUGCGACAAACUGCAAUUUUACCUCUGAUAAUGAUUAUACAUAUAAUGGUUAUUGCAAGCCAUUUGGGGUUUCAUAAUGGUGGAAAUGCAAUUAAAUAAAUAAAUAUUAUAGUGGAGGGAUUGCAUUAGGACAUAUGGUGACUCUAAAAGAAACAUACCACAGGAGUUUCUUUACAAGACUUUUUCAAAGGAUGUUUGCCUUUACCUUCCUCUGAGGUUGGGAGAUUGUGACUUGCCCAAGGUCAUCCAGUGGGUUUCUAUGGUAAAUGAGGGACUUGAACUCUGAGCUCCAUAGUUUGAGUCCAACAAACAGACUACUUUUGUAUUUAUACUAAUUUGCAAAAAUUGUUUUGAUCAAAUGAAAGGAUAUGCCUCUAUUUAUCAUGAAUAUUACAAACAACACAUUGGCUAGAAUUCUUAAUUAUAUAUACGUAUGUCAGCA